rnacentral:rRNA from 1 species
AUUGAACGCUGGCGGCAGGCCUAACACAUGCAAGUCGAGCGGAGAGAGGUAGCUUGCUACUGAUCUUAGCGGCGGACGGAUGAGUAAUGCUUAGGAAUCUGCCUAUUAGUGGGGGACAACAUUUCGAAAGGAAUGCUAAUACCGCAUACGUCCUACGGGGGAAAGCAGGGGAUCUUCGGACCUUGCGCUAAUGGAUGAGCCUAAGUCGGAUUAGCUAGUUGGUGGGGUAAAGGCCUACCAAGGCGACGAUCUGUAGCGGGUCUGAGAGGAUGAUCCGCCACACUGGGACUGGAACACGGCCCAGACUCCUACGGGAGGCAGCAGUGGGGAAUAUUGGACAAUGGGCGGAAGCCUGAUCCAGCCAUGCCGCGUGUGUGAAGAAGGCCUUAUGGUUGUAAAGCACUUUAAGUGAGGAGGAGGCUACUUUAGUUAAUACCUAGAGAUAGUGGACGUUACUCGCAGAAUAAGCACCGGCUAACUCUGUGCCAGCCGCCGCCGUAACAC